rnacentral:rRNA from 1 species
AUACGGCCCAGACUCCUACGGGAGGCAGCAGUGGGGAAUAUUGCACAAUGGGCGGAAGCCUGAUGCAGCAACGCCGCGUGCGGGAUGACGGCCUUCGGGUUGUAAACCGCUUUCGCCUGUGACGAAGCGUGAGUGACGGUAAUGGGUAAAGAAGCACCGGCUAACUACGUGCCAGCAGCCGCGGUGAUACGUAGGGUGCGAGCGUUGUCCGGAUUUAUUGGGCGUAAAGGGCUCGUAGGUGGUUGAUCGCGUCGGAAGUGUAAUCUUGGGGCUUAACCCUGAGCGUGCUUUCGAUACGGGUUGACUUGAGGAAGGUAGGGGAGAAUGGAAUUCCUGGUGGAGCGGUGGAAUGCGCAGAUAUCAGGAGGAACACCAGUGGCGAAGGCGGUUCUCUGGGCCUUUCCUGACGCUGAGGAGCGAAAGCGUGGGGAGCGAACAGGCUUAGAUACCCUGGUAGUCCACGCUGUAAACGGUGGGUACUAGGUGUGGGGUCCAUUCCACGGGUUCCGUGCCGUAGCUAACGCUUUAAGUACCCCGCCUGGGGAGUACGGCCGCAAGGCUAAAACUCAAAGGAAUUGACGGGGCCCCGCACAAGCGGCGGAGCAUGCGGAUUAAUUCGAUGCAACGCGUAGAACCUUACCUGGGUUUGACAUGGAUCGGGAGUGCUCAGAGAUGGGUGUGCCUCUUUUGGGGUCGGUUCACAGGUGGUGCAUGGCUGUCGUCAGCUCGUGUCGUGAGAUGUUGGGUUAAGUCCCGCAACGAGCGCAACCCUUGUCUUAUGUUGCCAGCAUUUGGUUGGGGACUCAUGAGAGACUGCCGGGGUCAACUCGGAGGAAGGUGGGGAUGACGUCAAAUCAUCAUGCCCCUUAUGUCCAGGGCUUCACACAUGCUACAAUGGUCGGUACAACGCGCUGCGACACUGUGAGGUGGAGCGAAUCGCUGAAAGCCGGCCUUAGUUCGGAUUGGGGUCUGCAACUCGACCCCAUGAAGUCGGAGUCGCUAGUAAUCGCAGAUCAGCAACGCUGCGGUGAAUACGUUCCCGGGGCUUGUACACACCGCCCGUCAAGUCAUGAAAGUUGGUAACACCCGAAGCCGGUGGCCUAACCGUUGUGGGGGAGCCGUCGAAGGUGGGACUGGUGAUUAGGACUAAGUCGUAACAAGGUAGCCGUACCGGAAGGUGCGGCUG